rnacentral:rRNA from 1 species
AUGCCGUCAGAGACAACUGAAGUUGAUGCCGCGGUGCGGAGUUCUGUUGAAUGUGCAGUUGGAAAGGUUAUCUCGGCCGCAAAGUCCAUGGGGCCAAAUUCGUCAAGCCCCCAAGCUGAAACCUCCAACUCUUCUACUCAUGUGCAUUCUAUUAUCAAUUCGAUUGUCGAAAAACAUCGUGCUAUCUGGGCCGAAGAGUUUGAAAUAAUUCAACAGAAACGUUUCUCCUUGAUGGCAGCCGACAUUUCUGACGCUAUUUCAUCACUCGUGUGCAACUGCCAGACUGAUGUGGAUGCUUCUUCCCGUCAAGUUCGAGACCAGCCACAUCCUGUUGGUACAACUGAAUAUCAAGUUCCACGUCCUGAUCAAGCUCCUGUCGAUCUGGUCCGAGAUCAGCAGAAUCCUCCUGUUGCAUCUGAAGGUCAGGUUCCAGAGGUUGUUCUAAAUUCAAUGGAUGCUAAAGAAAGUCAAGCCAGAGUGUCGGAUGAUAAUGUACAUGUCUGUCCUGUUCUAAAUUCAAAGGAUGCCCAGGACACUCAAGUGAACGAGAAUGUUGGCACCGAGGGUCUAGUCUCGGGUGAUAUCGCACUUGUCUCUCCUGAUCCUAUUGAAGAUCAAUCUCCCAACUUUUCAAGAGGCAUACGUGCUACUAUCAGCGAUGAUCCUUCUCACUCGGAGAAUGUUGCCGCUCCAACAACACCUACUGAUGCUAAUCCCAUUGGUGGAUCAUCUGUAACACGAACCGUUGAUAGAAACUCAAAACGGAAACAUGAUGAAACGGGAAACGGAAAUGAUGGGAAAUGGAAAAGAAAAAAGAAAAGAAGCUGUUCAGCAAUCCCACUUUGCAAACCUUCAUCUGAUCCCACCCUAUCCGAUACCUUCAUGGCUCACAUGUCAGAGGCUGGCGACCCGUUCGAAUUUCUCCCGCUAUCAAUCCUCGCCGACAUCCUCGGCCGCGUCGCUCAUACCAGAGACAUCGCAUCGUGCCGCCUUGCCUCGCGCGAGCUCCUCGCCGUGGCUUACCAGUGCCCCCGCAUCCGCCUCGACGCCUCCGGCCGCGCACCCGGUCUUCGGAAGGGUGGGGGAGGGGUCGAGGGCACCGCCUUCCACACACUCGCUGGAAACCUCGCGUCACGCCUCGGGUCGCACCUCCGCUCCCUUGUGAUCAUUGCGUCCGAAGGGCAGGGUUGCCCCGAUGAAGCGACGUGGGUGGAGGACAGGGAGUUCGACGAGGCUGAUGAUCUGCAUGUUACCAGUGGAAACUCCGUGCGGGCGUGGGCUACAACAGCCGCAGGACCUGCCCUCCAGGAGGUGGAGAUCGCUGACUUCUGGCCACAGUCAUGCUGGCGGAAGGCGGAGGCGCUCCCUGUCAUUUCGCACUUCUGUCAUAAUCUGCUCAAACUGGCGCUGAAAAAUGCAUGGCUGUCUGUUGAUGGGCUCGAGAUAAUGCCUAAUCUGACCCAUCUGACUCUUGAAUUCAUUAGACUCGAUGACGAGGACCUGAGCAAGCUGAAUGAAUGCUUCCCUUGCCUUCAGAUUCUCAAUCUUAUCGGAGUCGGGGGUCUCGAAAACCCCAAGAUUCACCUCUCUCAAGUAAAGACUUUCCGCUGGGAGGUAUCAAAUGCUCCGUGGUCCUUAGCUAUCCAUGCGCCGAACUUGGUUCAUCUCGAGUUGAAGUGUGUUGAACCAGAGAUCCUCAUUUUAGACACUCCUUCCGUGUCUACUCUGAAGCUGACCAUUGAUGAACUCGGUCCAACUGUCCAAGUUGACGGCCUAGCGAGUUUGAAAAAUCUUCGAAUCGAGUCCUCGGAUCUGAAGUCCCUCCUGCAGCUGUUUGCAAGUGAUCGGGAGAUCAGGACAUUAGAUCUUGAGCUACCAGUUUCUGUGAACUGCGUAGACCUUUACCAUGAGGCCGUUUGGAGAAACUUCUGGUCCAUCUACCAGCAUCGCACAUCACUGCUUGUCCGUUCGUGCCGUUGCUUAGUGUGA